GUGGGGUUGUGGCUCAGUGGUAGAGCUCUUGUCUUGCAUAUGUGGGGCACUGGGUUCAAUCCUCAGCACCACA
rnacentral:tRNA from 1 species